rnacentral:rRNA from 1 species
GACGAACGCUGGCGGCGUGCUUAACACAUGCAAGUCGAGCGGUAAGGCCCUUUCGGGGGUACGACGAGCGGCGAACGGGUGAGUAACACGUGGGUGACCUGCCCUCAGCUCUGGGGAUAAGCCUAGGGAAACCGGGUCUAAUACCGGAUAUGACUCCAUGACGCAUGUUGUGGGGUGAAAGCCUUGUGCGGCUGAGGAUGGGCCCGNGGCCUAUCAGCUUGUUGGUGGGGUGANGGCCUACCAAGGCGACGACGGGUAGCCGGCCUGAGAGGGCGACCGGCACACUGGGACUGAGGCACGGCCCAGACUCCUACGGGAGGCAGCAGUGGGGAAUCUUGCG